AGAGUUUGAUCCUGGCUCAGGACGAACGCUGGCGGCGUGCCUAACACAUGCAAGUCGCACGAGAAAGUCCCCGCAAGGGGGCGAGUAAAGUGGCAGACGGGUGAGUAACACGUGGAUAAUCUACCUUCUCGUGGGGGACAACAGUCCGAAAGGAUUGCUAAUACCGCAUGACAUCAUAACGGGGCAUCCCGAAGUGAUCA
rnacentral:rRNA from 1 species